UUGGGGAAUAGUGUAACGGUAGCACGACUGACUCUGGAUCAGUUAGUCCAGGUCCGAAUCCUGGUUCCCCAGUC
rnacentral:tRNA from 1 species